CCUGUGGGGCUGCGGGAAAGCAAGUCUCCAGAGCAAGGAAAAAUGAUGCUGAGAGCCACAGGCCGGGCUGGAAAGGCCAGUGCAAGCCUGAGGGUCCCCAGGGAUGGAAGGAAGCAGCCGUCUCUCCGCAGGUCGGGCUCCUCUGCCGCACCCUCCUCCGCCCAUCCCUCCUCCCUCCUCCCUCCCAUCUACCUUCUGGUGCCCAAGGAACCAGUGGGUGGGGGGCGUUGGGAAGGCGCGCAGGUCCCGCAGCAGCCUCUGCCUCCGCAGGUAGAGCUUAAUGGUCUGCAGCAGCCCCAGGGCCAGGCAGAACACGAACGCCAGUACAGGGAAUUGGAGAUACCAAAAAAAUCCCAUCAACAUGGAUAGUGGUGCCUCUAGAUGGAAAUAAGCCCCAUGAGACUCCCAGAAGGAGGCCUGUGCCUCUACCAAUGCUCAUCUGAUGGCUACUUCCAUGUCAGACACGAGAGACAAGAAAUGAAGGUCAUUGAGGGGCUGCUUCAAUCCUACACACAGCCCAAAGAAAACCAUACAUUUGUCUACAAACAGCAGUGCAAGUUCAUCUGCGUCUCGUUAUUGGGCUGCAAGAAUAAGCAACCUGACCCUCAGUUUGGUCUGGGAACAAAUUUGGUGAGGCAGCCAGGAGCCACUGGGACGGUGCUGUUUUCAACCGUCAGCGGCUUGUGAUGAAACAGUCUUCAGGAGGAUCCCAGCAGCUGUUGGGUGAGAGUUUCCCAGGGAUCCCUUCUGAGGGCUGUCCCAUGUGAAAAAUUGCAUGUCCCUCCCACUGUUGGGGAAGACUGGAGAUCAGGGGUGAACGUGCUGGAAGGGUUAGUUAAUUGGAUUGUAUGCCAGGAGUCUGUUGCUUUCCUAUCUGGGCUUGUUAAGCCACUUGUCUGGUACCGCCAGGGGAGCAAUAAGGCUUGCUCAUACACCCACUUUGCAUUUUGGUUAAGAUCAGGUUUUGUGUUGGUUUUGAGUCUGUUCUGCCUGAAUGCACUCCCCCUGGUGUUUGUCUGAAUUCUGUCUCCACUUGUUUGUGUAUCUGUCUUGUCUCUUUUGAUACCAUGUAAGCUUGAAUAUAAGAGGUGUCAGGUCCAUCCCUGCUGGGAGCCCUCUGGGAAGGAAAAAGGUUUUUUUAAAGGAGCUCAAUGAUUAAAAGUCAGCUUAAUUAAAAGGUAACAUCUAAGA